rnacentral:rRNA from 1 species
GACGAACGCUGACGGCGUGCUUAAAACAUGCAAGUCGAACGAAGUGGCGAACGGGUGAGUAACGCGUAAUAAACCUGCCCUUCAGAGGGGGACAACAGUUGGAAACGACUGCUAAUACCGCAUACUGAAGGAGGGGAUUGAGUCUGUGUAGCUAGUGGGAGGGGGAACGGCCCACCAAGGCGAUGAGCAGGAGUCUGUCGGAGAGGAUGAACGGCCCCAUUGGGACUGAGACACGGCCCAGACUCCUACGGGAGGCAGCAGUGGGGAAUCUUCCGCAAUGGACGAAAGUCUGACGGAGCAACGCCGCGUGAGUGAUGACGGCCUUCGGGUUGUAAAGCUCUGUUAAUCGGGACGCGGUACCGGAAUAGAAAGCCACGGCUAACUACGUGCCAGCAGCCGCGGUAAUUC